CUACUAUUGGUGUUAUUAUUCGGCCAAUGUCGUCAAAGUCAGGAGUUCUCAGAAAUGGGAUAUUCACAUUAGAAAGAGAGAGAGAGAGAGAGAGAGAGAGAGAGAGAGCAUAAACUUCAGAUCUUCAAUCGCCAGAUUCUACGCAGUGCGCAGCAAAACAAUAGGUGGAAGACGAGGCAUAUGGGACAGUUGGAUUUAUAGACCCUGUGUACAUGUCAACGGGCUUUCUCACUAAGAAGUCCGAUGUUUAUAGUUUUGGUGCGAUUCUUCUUGAACUUCUGACCGGGAAAAGAUCCAUGCACUUGCACUGUGACACGAAUCAGCAAUCCUUACAAGUAUGGGUGAAAGACUCUGUAGAAAAGGAUCAGUGCAAUGAAUUUGUGGAUCCAAGAAUUCUGAAAAACAGAGGAGGAAUUGAGCAAGGACAACAAUUACAAGCUGUACUAGCACUUGCCUUGAGAUGCACCCAAUAUAACAAAGAAGAUAGACCAGAAAUGAUCGACGUCACAAAAGAACUCAGGCGAAUGCUCAAGUCUGAUUGCCCUCCCUCCUCAACUCAACCAUAAUAAUCCUUCAUUUCUAAGAUGAUGAUGACGACGACUAUGAUGACUAUAUGCUUCAUGCAUAGUCACCAAUUCAUAGAAUUAUGUAUUACAUGUUAUUAUAUAUGCUACUACACAUCUCUCUCGUUGUAAUAUAUUGUUAAACCAUUAUGUUUGCCUCUCCAUUGUUUGUGAGGUAGAAAACUUUUGCUCUACAAACUGAUUAUUCAGAGUAUAUAUAUAAAUAUGGCAACUAUUUUAA